rnacentral:sRNA from 1 species
ACCAAUGUAAAGGUCAGGCCGAGGCCGGCGCGGAGAAUCUGCCGUCGCCUGCAUCUGCUCGCCUAUCUCCGUCGGAAGGGAGCCCAAGCUUUGCUGAGAUGAAGUCUCACUCUGUCGCCCAGGCUGGAGUGCAAUGGCACGAUCUAGGCUCACUGCAACCUCUGCCUCCUUGGUUCAAGGGAUUCUCCUGUCUCGGCCUCCUGAGCAGCUGGGAUUAUAGGCGUGCGCCACCUCGCCUGGCUAAUUUUUUUGUAUUUUUGUAGAGAUGGGGUUUCACCAUGUUGGCCAGGCUGGUCUUGAACUCCGGACCUCAAGUGACCCACCUGCCUCGGCCUCCCAAAGUGCUGGGAUUGCAGGCGUGAGCCACUGUGCCCGGCCUCACCUGAUGGUUUCUUAGCAAACUUCAGUAGAAUGUUUACAACGCGGCCCUGAUAAACUUGAGUGCUGGUAGGAGGUGCUACCUCGCUCAAUCUGUGAGCAACCAGCCCCGUGCCCUGGAUGCUUGGCAGGUGGAGAGAAAGACAGUGUUACGUGGGCAAGCCUCCAACUCACCAGUUGCAGGCAGAGUAUCUGGUCUCCGUCUGCUGCUGUAGCCCUGUGAGUCAGCCAGACGUGUGGUCCUCAAGCCAGCUUCCCACCUAGCACCCUUGUUCUGCUACAGCUCCCCCACCUGCCCUCCUGCAUUGCCUAGGAUCCCACGCCCCGCUUUCAAUCUGCUCUGGGACAUUUGUCUUCUUCUUUGCAGGGGACUAAGUAUAUGACUUAAUGAAUCCUAAAAGGAAAAAAAGAUGUCAGGAAAAAAAAGUGCACACAAGAAAUGUUGCAACAUCUCAUCCUUAGCAACUUUGUUUGGUUAGUACUGCAUAACUCACAGCAGAUUCCAAGGCACCUGCCUUGAACAUUGCUACAUGCUCUAGGCAUUAUCAGGAAUGCAGCCAGGGCGCCUGCAAAGUUGUCUCCAGUUUCUGGGUAGGAGGACCAUCAUCCGUAUUGUCUGUGGCUUUGUGUCUGAGUUGGGCUACUGAGCCUGUGACUUCAGACCCCUUGUCUGCCUGAUGGAUACAUUCGGUAUAAUACGUUACCAUCACAAUUUCAUGAAUGUAACUAAUGAAGAUCUAGCCCUUCCAUGCCUCCUGCUGAACUAUGUCACCUGUGAUAAUAAAACCUCUACACAUAGCAUUUUAUACAAAGCAAGUCAAACAGCAAUGAUAGUGGCAAGUGAUGUAUUUGGCUUAAAGAAGCUUGUGUUACUGAAGUUAACGCAGAAGUCUGGCCUCCGUUCGUGGGAUUAUUAAAUAUAUAUCCUACGGGAUCAGAGUCAUCUAUUAGAAACAGUGAUAGCCCUGGGUAUAAAUAAACAUUUCUUUAGAGUUUGGCGUCAGUUUUUCAAUGUCCAUCCUCAAAUCAGACAGUCUGUUUGAGGGGUCAGUUUUCAGGGUGUGUCUGCACCGAGAGGCUUGAGGCAGCAACGACCCCUGGGCUGCAGUUCGGUUGCAGACGCUGGUGGCGGGCAGUCCAGGUUGGAGGGUGGAGGUGGGCCAAGGUCACAGGUGCUGCAGGGCUUCUUGUCCUUGCUCUGUGUAACCGUCAUCGCGGUGGGUGUUUGCCCACUGUCCAAAGGACUCCUGGAUGUGCACGUUUCUCUGCGUGUUGGCCACGCGCUUCUUAUCUCGGGAGAAGAAGCUAAACCUUUGGAAGGGAAAGCAAACACAGAAAUGAGAGCUGACCCUUUGCUGUGCACGUCACAUUUUUUGCAGUGCCGGAGACAUACAGCAGCAAACUCAGAAGGGAGCAAAUCAAUUCAAGGUGUGAAAGACAAAGUUGGGGGUGCAGGUCAAAGUUAUUCCAAGAAAGCAGCGGGGUAUUCUGCGUGUCAUUUGGACACGGUACCUUGGAGGUCACGCGGUAUGGGCAAGGCAUUCAUGUUGAUGUGAUGUGUGAGGUGUCUUCCACGUUAGCCUCUAUGGAGGAUUUAUCCCGUUACCAGUGGGAAUCAAAACAAAUCAUGGGUUUCUUUAAUUACCCUAAUGAUGCAGAGGUUUCUUUAAUUACCCUAAUGAAAACCGUGUGGAAUAUAAGAGGAUUCUGUUGUAAACAGAUGAAUAUUUCUAAUUUAAAUAGUUCUGUAUUUGUUUAAUGUCAGUCAGGAAACUGUGGCC